CCCCCCAGCCCACACUGGCCCUGCCCUCAGGUAAGCCCAGGAGUUCCGAGGGAGGACGGGGUAAGACAAAACCCCUUUGGGCUCCCCACCCCCAGGAUUAAAUUCCUGGGAAGAUAGCUGGAACUGUCUUGGAAGCCUGAGUCCCAGGGGGAAAGGGCUAUGACCUUGAAGCUUUACAGCGCCCCUCCCAACCCCACAGCUCCCGAUGGCCAGGAAGGGGGGUGGUGGUGAGAGGAGGGGGAGGCGCGUGGUGGGGAAAGCAGCCGGCCCACAGCGCUCCUUGCCCGCUCCCCCACACCAGCUGUCUCGACAGAGAUCCUGCCUGCAAAUGAUGUCAGAGAUGAGAAAGUAAAACUAAGAGGUGGUUCCUGAUGACAUCAUCUGACAACUGGAGUAGUCGUGCCUUCAGUCCUUGAAGUCUUCAAUUACAUGACCCAUGACUCCAAGCCCCGCCCCCAGGACCUUGCACAGACACGUGUCCAAUAACUGCGCGCAGAGAAGCUCCGGGGCCAGGCCUAAGCAGAGGC